AUUGAACGCUGGCGGCAGGCCUAACACAUGCAAGUCGAACGGUAACAGGAAGAAGCUUGCUUCUUUGCUGACGAGUGGCGGACGGGUGAGUAAUGUCUGGGAAACUGCCUGAUGGAGGGGGAUAACUACUGGAAACGGUAGCUAAUACCGCAUAACGUCGCAAGACCAAAGAGGGGGACCUUCGGGCCUCUUGCCAUCGGAUGUGCCCAGAUGGGAUUAGCUAGUAGGUGGGGUAACGGCUCACCUAGGCGACGAUCCCUAGCUGGACUGAGAGGAUGACCAGCCACACUGGAACUGAGACACGGUCCAGACUCCUACGGGAGGCAGCAGUGGGGAAUAUUGCACAAUGGGCGCAAGCCUGAUGCAGCCAUGCCGCGCGUAUGAAGAAGGCCUUCGGGUUGUAAAGUACUUUCAGCGGGGAGGAAGGGAGUAAAGUUAAUACCUUUGCUCAUUGACGUUACCCGCAGAAGAAGCACCGGCUAACUCCGUG
rnacentral:rRNA from 1 species